rnacentral:rRNA from 1 species
UACGUAGGGUGCAAGCGUUGUCCGGAAUUAUUGGGCGUAAAGAGCUCGUAGGCGGUCUGUUACGUCGGCUGUGAAAACCUGGGGCUCAACCCCGGGCCUGCAACCGAUACGGGCAGACUAGAAUUCGGUAGGGGAGACUGGAAUUCUUGGUGUAGCGGUGAAAUGCGUAGAUAUCAAGAGGAACACCUGAGGUGAAGACGGGUUGCUGGGCCGACACUGACGCUGAAGCGCGAAAGCCAGGGGAGCAAACGGG